rnacentral:rRNA from 1 species
AAAGAGAACCUGCACACAGGUGCUGCAUGGCUGUCGUCAGCUCGUGUCGUGAGAUGUUGGGUUAAGUCCCGCAACGAGCGCAACCCUUGCCAUUAGUUGCUACGAAAGGGCACUCUAAUGGGACUGCCGGUGACAAACCGGAGGAAGGUGGGGAUGACGUCAAGUCCUCAUGGCCCUUAUAGGUGGGGCUACACACGUCAUACAAUGGCUGGUACAAAGGGUUGCCAACCCGCGAGGGGUAGCUAAUCCCAUAAAGCCAGUCGUAGUCCGGAUCGCAGUCUGCAACUCGACUGCGUGAAGUCGGAAUCGCUAGUAAUCGUGGAUCAGAAUGUCACGGUGAAUACGUUCCCGGGUCUUGUACACACCGCCCGUCACACCAUGGGAGCGGGUCUCGCCAGAAGUUGGUAGCCUAGCCGCAAGGAGGGCGCUUACCA